rnacentral:lncRNA from 1 species
UGGAGGUGCCUUUGGAAAGCCUCAAGGAGCCUUGAUCAGGGUUCAUACUGGCCAAGUUGUCUUGUCUAUCCACAUCAAGCUAUAGAACCAGGAGCAUGUGAUUGAGGCCCUCCACAGGGCCAAGUUCAAGUUCCCUGGUCACCAGAAGAUCCACAUCUGAAAGAAGUGGGGCGUUUCAAAGUUCGAUGCAGAUUUGAAGACGUGGUGGCUCUGGUAUGAGAAGUGGCUCAUCCCAGAUGGCUGUGGGGUCAAAUACAUCUCCAGUCUGGGCAAGUGGCAGGCCCUG